rnacentral:lncRNA from 1 species
CUCUUUUUUCCAAAAAAUUUGGUAACCUAAAUUAAUGCACCUGCAUAUAUAUAUAUAUAUAUAUAUAUAUAUUGUAGUAGCUCAAAUUUGACCGGGCUGAAAAUAAAAUAAACCCAUUACAGUCCAGUUUACAAAAGCCCAAAUUAAUUGACCCAUUUAACCUAGACCUAGCAGACCGGUUAUAACCUGUAACCCAGUAGCCCAAAUACCAAUAACCCAGUAAACCCAACCACCCAGCAGACCCAUUUACACCCUCAACCCAAAGUACACAGAGCCCAAACGGCCCAAGAUAUUAGCAGAAUAAAGAGAAGCCUAGGGUUUCAGAAACCCUAGGCGCCGCAAUCAUCCCGAAAGACGCGCCUUUUCGAAUCACGCCGUUCUAGUAGCCACCAUCAGCGCUGUGGUUCCAGUUCCCAUGCCACGCCGCAAUCGGCGCAUGGAUCAUGACCCACCGCCGAAGAUUGCGCCAUUAACCUGCAAGAAAAGGAAAGAAGCAAGCAAAUCAAGAAUCAGAAUAGGGUUUUUUUUUUUAGAUUUAUUUGUAAACAGUAUAAAUGGAUGUAAAAUACGAUGUAAAAAGGGGACCGCCUUUUUCUUACAAAAAGAAAAAUAAAAAGAUAUACAGAGACAUAAAAGAA